rnacentral:rRNA from 1 species
CAAUAGCGUAUAUUUAAGUUGUUGCAGUUAAAAAGCUCGUAGUUGGAUUUCGGAUGGGAUUUGCCGGUCCGUCGUUACGAUGUGCACUGGCCAGUCCUAUCUUGUUGUCGGGGACUAGCUCCUUGGAUUCACUUCCUGGGACUAGGAGCUGACGAGGUUACUUUGAGUAAAUUAGAGUGUUCAAAGCAAGCCUACGCUCUGAAUACAUUAGCAUGGAAUAACACGAUAGGACUCUGGCUUAUCUUGUUGGUCUGUGAGACCAGAGUAAUGAUUAAGAGGGACAGUCGGGGACAUUCGUAUUUCAUUGUCAGAGGUGAAAUUCUUGGAUUUAUGAAAGACGAACUUCUGCGAAAGCAUUUGUCAAGCAUGUUUUCAUUAA